GGGGAAAUAAAUCCUUAUGCAAGAAUAAAUGGUGUGGAGGAGUCUCAAGUAUAGAAAAAUUUCUCCUCUUCCAUAAUCAUAAAUAUCAUAUAUUAAUGGUGUGUGAAAGAAAUAAAUGGAGUGAAAAACAAAGAGAUGUAUUAAAAGAAAGACUUUUCUUUUACCACACCCAUAAAUUUUGGCAUUGAAUUCAGGUGGGUG
rnacentral:lncRNA from 1 species